UCCCUGGUGGCUCAGAUGGUAAAGCAUCUGUCUACCAUGCAGGAGACCUGGGUUCAAUCCCUGGGUCGGGAA
rfam:Ovis aries breed Texel chromosome 9, whole genome shotgun sequence.